AUUGAACGCUGGCGGCAUGCCUUACACAUGCAAGUCGAACGGUAACGGGCCUUCGGGUGCCGACGAGUGGCGGACGGGCGAGUAAUACACCGGAACGUGCCCGACCGUGGGGGAUGACGAGGCGAAAGCUAUGCUAAUAUAACAUCCGAUCUACGGAUGAAAGCCGGGGUGCGCAAUGCCUUGCUCGGGCGGAGCGGCCGAUGGCAGCGUAGGUAGAUGGUGGGGUAGAAGUGUAGCCAUACGACGAGCUGUAGCUGGUCUGAGAGGCUGAUAGGCCACAUGGGGACGGGGACACGGCCCAGGGGCCUAAGAGAGGCACCAGUGGGGAAUGUUGGACAAUGGGCGCAAGCCUGAUCCAACGGUGCCGCGUGCAAGAUGAAGGCCUUCGGGUUGUAAACUGCUUUUGUACGGAACGAAAAGCCUUCUUUUAAUACGGGAGGGUAAUGACGGUACCGGAAGAAUAAGCACCGGCUAACUACGUG
rnacentral:rRNA from 1 species